rnacentral:rRNA from 1 species
GACGAACGCUGGCGGCGUGCUUAACACAUGCAAGUCGAACGGAAAGGUCCUGCCUUUGUGGGGUGCUCGAGUGGCGAACGGGUGAGUAACACGUGAGUAACCUGUACUUGACUUUGGGAUAACUUCAGGAAACUGGGGCUCAUACCGGAUAGGAGCUCCUGCUGCAUGGUGGGGGUUGGAAAGUUUCGGCGGUUGGGGAUGGACUCGCGGCUUAUCAGGUUGUUGGUGUGGUAGUGGAAUACCAAGGCUUUGAAGGGUAGCCUGGCUGCGAGGGUAACCUGCCACGUUGGGACGGAGAUGCGACACAGACUAGUAUGGUAGGCAGCGGAGGAGAAGAGUACACUAUGGGCGGAAGCCUAAUGUAGCAACGCCGUGUGCGGUGUGACGGCAAGCGGUUUGGAUUCCGCUUUCGCCUUUGACGAAGCGAGAGUGACAGUAAUGGGUGAAGAAGCACCGGCUAACUACGUG